UACGGAGGGUGCAAACGUUGCUCGGAAUCAUUGGGCGUAAAGCGCACGUAGGCGGCUCUUUAAGUCGGGGGUGAAAUCCUGGAGCUCAACUCCAGAACUGCCUUCGAUACUGGAGAGCUCGAGUCCGGGAGAGGUGAGUGGAACUGCGAGUGUAGAGGUGAAAUUCGUAGAUAUUCGCAAGAACACCAGUGGCGAAGGCGGCUCACUGGCCCGGUACUGACGCUGAGGUGCGAAAGCGUGGGGAGCAAACAGGG
rnacentral:rRNA from 1 species